CCUACGGGAGGCAGCAGUAGGGAAUUUUCCGCAAUGGGCGAAAGCCUGACGGAGCAAUACCGCGUGAGGGAUGACGGCCUGUGGGUUGUAAACCUCUUUUCUCAAGGAAGAAGUUCUGACGGUACUUGAGGAAUAAGCAUCGGCUAACUCUGUGCCAGCAGCCGCGGUAAUACAGAGGAUGCAAGCGUUAUCCGGAAUCACUGGGCAUAAAGCGUCUGUAGGUUGUUUAGUAAGUCUGCUGUUAAAGACUGGGGCUUAACCCCAGAAAAGCAGUGGAAACUGCUAGACUCGAGUGUGGUAGAGGUAGAGGGAAUUCCUAGUGUAGCGGUGAAAUGCGUAGAUAUUAGGAAGAACACCAAUGGCGAAGGCACUCUACUGGGCCAUAACUGACACUGAGAGACGACAGCUAGGGGAGCAAACGGGAUUAGAUACCCCGGUAGUCCUAGCCGUAAACGAUGGAUACUAGAUGUUGCACGUAUUAACCCGUGCAGUAUCGUAGCUAAGGCGUUAAGUAUCCCGCCUGGGAAGUACGCUCGCAAGAGUGAAACUCAAAGGAAUUGACGGCUGAGACGNGCGAGACGACACGAGGGAGAGG
rnacentral:rRNA from 1 species